rnacentral:rRNA from 1 species
CCUACGGGGUGCAGCAGUAGGGAAUAUUGCUCAAUGGGGGAAACCCUGAAGCAGCAACGCCGCGUGGAGGAUGAAGGUUUUCGGAUCGUAAACCUCUGUCAGCAGGGAAGAACGGUCACUGUGCUAAUCAGCAGUGAAUUGACGGUACCUGCAAAGGAAGCACCGGCUAACUCCGUGCCAGCAGCCGCGGUAAUACGGAGGGUGCGAGCGUUAAUCGGAAUUACUGGGCGUAAAGCGCUCGUAGGCGGUAUGUCAAGUCAAGGGUGAAAUCCCCGCGCUCAACGUGGGAACUGCCUUUGAAACUGGCAAACUGGAGUGUGUGAGAGGAUAGUGGAAUUCCAGGUGUAGGAGUGAAAUCCGUAGAUAUCUGGAGGAACAUCAGUGGCGAAGGCGACUAUCUGGCACAUAACUGACGCUGAGGAGCGAAAGCGUGGGUAGCAAACAGGAUUAGAUACCCCUGUAGUC